rnacentral:lncRNA from 1 species
AUUUGGUCGUGAACAGUUUUAAGGACUAAUCGAUAAAUCCUCUCUUUAUCGAACUUAAAUAGUCCUAAGGACUUCAUCAUAACAACGGAGUUCAUUAGAAAAUGAAAGCUUAUGAUGAAAAUGCCAAAUAUAUUUUAUUUAUUAAUAAAUCAAUUACAAUACUUGGUUGCUCAACCGUCAACAGCUUGACGAUUGACUUUUUGGGACACAUUU